rnacentral:rRNA from 1 species
AGUCAAGUAAUUAAGUGCAUGUGGUGGAUGCCUUGGCAGUCAGAGGCGAUGAAAGACGUGAUAGCCUGCGAAAAGCUCCGGGGAGGCGGCAAAUAUCCUUUGAUCCGGAGAUGUCUGAAUGGGGGAACCCACCUACUUUAAGGUAGGUAUUGCAACAUGAAUACAUAGUGUUGCAAGGCGAACGAGGGGAAGUGAAACAUCUCAGUACCCUUAGGAAAAGAAAUCAAUUGAGAUUCCCUCAGUAGCGGCGAGCGAACGGGGAUCAGCCCAUUAAGUUAUGUGUGUUUUAGUGGAACGCUCUGGGAAGUGCGAACGUAGAGGGUGAUAUUCCCGUACACGAAAGGGCACACAUAAUGAUGACGAGUAGGGCGAGGCACGUGAAACCUUGUCUGAAUAUGGGGGACCAUCCUCCAAGGCUAAAUACUCCUGACUGACCGAUAGUGAACCAGUACCGUGAGGGAAAGGCGAAAAGAACCCCUGUGAGGGGAGUGAAAUAGAUCCUGAAACCGCAUGCAUACAAGCAGUGGGAGCACCUUCGUGGUGUGACUGCGUACCUUUUGUAUAAUGGGUCAGCGACUUAUAUUCAGUAGCGAGGUUAACCGUAUAGGGGAGCCGUAGAGAAAUCGAGUCUUAAUAGGGCGUUUAGUUGCUGGGUAUAGACCCGAAACCAGGCGAUCUAUCCAUGAGCAGGUUGAAGGUUGGGUAACACUAACUGGAGGACCGAACCCACUGUCGUUGAAAAGCCAGGGGAUGACUUGUGGAUAGGGGUGAAAGGCUAAUCAAGCCUGGUGAUAGCUGGUUCUCCCCGAAAGCUAUUUAGGUAGCGCCUCGGACGAAUACCAUAGGGGGUAGAGCACUGUUUCGGCUAGGGGGUCAUCCCGACUUACCAAACCGAUGCAAACUCCGAAUACCUAUGAGUACUAUCCGGGAGACAGACUGCGGGUGCUAACGUCCGUAGUCAAGAGGAAAACAAUCCAGACCGCCAGCUAAGGCCCCAAAAUCAUAGUUAAGUGGGAAACGAUGUGGGAAGGCAUAGACAGCUAGGAGGUUGGCUUAGAAGCAGCCACCCUUUAAAGAAAGCGUAAUAGCUCACUAGUCGAGUCGGCCUGCGCGGAAGAUGUAACGGGGCUAAAACUAUGUGCCGAAGCUGCGGAUGUAUACUUUGUAUACGUGGUAGGGGAGCGUUCUGUAAGCCGAUGAAGGUGUGUUGAGAAGCAUGCUGGAGGUAUCAGAAGUGCGAAUGCUGACGUGAGUAACGACAAAACGGGUGAAAAACCCGUUCGCCGAAAGACCAAGGGUUCCAGUCCAACGUUAAUCGGGGCUGGGUGAGUCGACCCCUAAGGCGAGGCCGAAAGGCGUAGUCGAUGGGAAAAUGGUUAAUAUUCCAUUACUUCUGUGUAAUGCGAUGAGAGGACGGAGAAGGCUAAAUCAGCCUGGCGUUGGUUGUCCAGGUGAAAGGAUGUAGGCAUGUAUCUUAGGCAAAUCCGGGGUACUCUAUGCUGAGAUCUGAUAGCAAGCUGUACUUGUACAGCGAAGUGGUUGAUGCCAUGCUUCCAGGAAAAGUCUCUAAGCUUCAGUUACACAGGAAUCGUACCCGAAACCGACACAGGUGGUCAGGUCGAGUAGACCAAGGCGCUUGAGAGAACUCUGCUGAAGGAACUAGGCAAAAUGGUACCGUAACUUCGGGAGAAGGUACGCUGUUGUUGGUGAUGGAACUCGCUUCCUGAGCUGACGACAGCCGCAGAAACCAGGCCGCUGCAACUGUUUAUUAAAAACAUAGCACUCUGCAAACACGAAAGUGGACGUAUAGGGUGUGAUGCCUGCCCGGUGCUGGAAGGUUAAUUGAUGGGGUUAGCGUAAGCGAAGCUCUUGAUCGAAGCCCCAGUAAACGGCGGCCGUAACUAUAACGGUCCUAAGGUAGCGAAAUUCCUUGUCGGGUAAGUUCCGACCUGCACGAAUGGCAUAAUGAUGGCGGCGCUGUCUCCAGCAGAGGCUCAGUGAAAUCGAAAUCGCUGUGAAGAUGCAGUGUACCCGCGGCUAGACGGAAAGACCCCGUGAACCUUUACUGCAGCUUGACACUGAACUUUGACCUUACUUGUGUAGGAUAGGUGGGAGGCUUUGAAGCUGGAACGCUAGUUCCAGUGGAGCCGUCCUUGAAAUACCACCCUGGUAAUGUUGAGGUUCUAACUCUGUCCCGUGAUCCGGGACGAGGACCGUGUCUGGUGGGUAGUUUGACUGGGGCGGUCUCCUCCUAAAGAGUAACGGAGGAGUACGAAGGUGCGCUCAGCGUGGUCGGAAAUCACGCGUAGAGUAUAAAGGCAAAAGCGCGCUUAACUGCGAGACCCACAAGUCGAGCAGGUACGAAAGUAGGUCUUAGUGAUCCGGUGGUUCUGUAUGGAAGGGCCAUCGCUCAACGGAUAAAAGGUACUCUGGGGAUAACAGGCUGAUACCGCCCAAGAGUUCAUAUCGACGGCGGUGUUUGGCACCUCGAUGUCGGCUCAUCUCAUCCUGGGGCUGAAGCAGGUCCCAAGGGUAUGGCUGUUCGCCAUUUAAAGAGGUACGCGAGCUGGGUUUAGAACGUCGUGAGACAGUUCGGUCCCUAUCUACCGUGGGCGCUGGAAAUUUGAGAGGAUCUGCUCCUAGUACGAGAGGACCAGAGUGGACGAACCUCUGGUGUACCGGUUGUGACGCCAGUCGCAUCGCCGGGUAGCUAUGUUCGGAAGGGAUAACCGCUGAAAGCAUCUAAGCGGGAAGCCUACCUCAAGAUAAGAUUUCCCUAGGACUUUAUGUCCUCUAAAGAGCCGUUCGAGACUAGGACGUUGAUAGGUUGGAUGUGGAAGCAUAGUGAUAUGUGAAGCUGACCAAUACUAAUUGCUCGUGAGGCUUGACUAU